UAGUUAAUUUCCUGAGAAGAAAUUAUCUGU
rnacentral:piRNA from 1 species